CAACAAAUGUGUAUCAAUACACAAAUGAAAAUAGUUCCCCACAAAUGCACCAUUUACUCCUUUUUGAGUAACGUUUGCCAAAACCCACAGUGCCCUGAUGUUUUAAGAAAUUAUUGAGCCUUUU